rnacentral:rRNA from 1 species
GACGAACGCUGGCGGCGUGCUUAACACAUGCAAGUCGAACGGAAAGUCCCGGCUUUGGUGGGGUGCGCGAGUUGCGAAGGGGUGAGUAACACGUGAGUAACCUGCCAUUGACUUUGGGAUAACUUCAUGAAACUGGGGCUAAUACCGGAUAGGAGCUCCUGCUGCAGGGUGGGGGUGGGAAGGUUUCGGCGGUUGGGGGUGGACUCGCGGCUUAUCGGCUUGUUGGAGGGGUAGUGUGUGACCAAGGCUUUGACCCGUGGCAGGGCUGAGAGGGUGAGCGGCCCAGCUGGGACUGAGCUACGACACGGACUCGUCCGGGACGCAGCAGUGGGGUAUAUUGUACAAUGGGCGGAAGGCUGGUGUAGUAAAGCCGCGCGGGGGAUGACAGCAAUCGCGUUGUAAACCGCUUUCGCCUGUCCCGAAACGUGAGUGACGGUAAUGGGUAAAGAAGCUCCGGCUAACUACGUG